AUUGAACGCUGGCGGCAGGCCUAACACAUGCAAGUCGAGCGGAAGAAGGGAGCUUGCUCCUGUAUUCAGCGGCGGACGGGUGAGUAAUGUAUAGGAAUCUGCCUGGUAGUGGGGGAUAACGUCCGGAAACGGGCGCUAAUACCGCAUACGUCCUGAGGGAGAAAGUGGGGGAUCUUCGGACCUCACGCUAUCAGAUGAGCCUAGGUCGGAUUAGCUAGUUGGUGGGGUAAAGGCCUACCAAGGCGACGAUCCGUAACUGGUCUGAGAGGAUGAUCAGUCACACUGGAACUGAGACACGGUCCAGACUCCUACGGGAGGCAGCAGUGGGGAAUAUUGGACAAUGGGCGAAAGCCUGAUCCAGCCAUGCCGCGUGUGUGAAGAAGGUCUUCGGAUUGUAAAGCACUUUUAGUAGGGAGGAAGGGCAGUAAGCUAAUACCUUGCUGUUUUGACGGUACCAGCAGAAUAAGCACCGGCUAACUUCGUG
rnacentral:rRNA from 1 species